GUUAGUUUGACAUGACCUGUGCUUCAUAAAACCAUGCUGAUUUUUGCUGAUAACCAUGUUCUUCAGCAAAAAUCAGCAUGGUUUUAUAAGGCACAGGUCAUGUCAAACUAAC